UACGUAGGGGGCAAGCGUUGUCCGGAUUUAUUGGGCGUAAAGAGCUCGUAGGUGGUUCGGUAAGUCGGAUGUGAAAUCUCCAGGCUCAACCUGGAGGGGUCAUUCGAUACUGCCGUGACUAGAGUUCGGUAGGGGAGUGUGGAAUUCCUGGUGGAGCGGUGAAAUGCGCAGAUAUCAGGAGGAACACCGGUGGCGAAGGCGGAUCUCUGGGCCUUACCUGACGCUCAGGCGCGAAAGCUAGGGGAGCGAACUGG
rnacentral:rRNA from 1 species